rnacentral:rRNA from 1 species
GAUGAACGCUGGCUACAGGCUUAACACAUGCAAGUCGAGGGGAAACGACGGGGAAGCUUGCUUCCCCGGGCGUCGACCGGCGCACGGGUGAGUAACGCGUAUCCAACCUGCCUCUGACUGAGGGAUAACCCGUCGAAAGUCGGCCUAAUACCUCAUGGUAUCGUCUGCGGGCAUCCAACGACGAUUAAAGAUUUCAUCGGUCAGGGAUGGGGAUGCGUCUGAUUAGCUUGUUGGCGGGGUAACGGCCCACCAAGGCUACGAUCAGUAGGGGUUCUGAGAGGAAGGUCCCCCACAUUGGAACUGAGACACGGUCCAAACUCCUACGGGAGGCAGCAGUGAGGAAUAUUGGUCAAUGGGCGAGAGCCUGAACCAGCCAAGUAGCGUGCAGGAAGACGGCCCUAUGGGUUGUAAUCUGCUUUUAUGCGGGGAUAAAGUGAGGGACGUGUCCCUCAUUGCAGGUACCGCAUGAAUAAGGACCGGCUAAUUCCGUG